rnacentral:rRNA from 1 species
GACGAACGCUGGCGGCGUGCUUAACACAUGCAAGUCGAACGAUGAACCCGGAGAUUGCUCUGGGGGAUUAGUGGCGAACGGGUGAGUAACACGUGAGUAACCUGCCCUGGACUCUGGGAUAAGCGUUGGAAACGACGUCUAAUACCGGAUAGGACCUUGGAUCGCAUGAUCUGGGGUGGAAAGUUUUUUCGGUCUGGGAUGGACUCGCGGCCUAUCAGCUUGUUGGUGAGGUAAUGGCUCACCAAGGCGUCGACGGGUAGCCGGCCUGAGAGGGUGACCGGCCACACUGGGACUGAGACACGGCCCAGACUCCGACGGGAGGCAGCAGUGGGGAAUAUUGCACAAUGGGCGAAAGCCUGAUGCAGCAACGCCGCGUGCGGGAUGACGGCCUUCGGGUUGUAAACCGCUUUUAGUAGGGAAGAAGGGCUUCGGCUUGACGGUACCUGCAGAAAAAGGACCGGCUAACUACGUG